AUCCGGAGGGUGCAAGCGUUACUCGGAAUCACUGGGCGUAAAGCGCGCGCAGGCGGCUAUUUAAGUUGGAUGUGAAAGCCUACGGCUCAACCGUAGAACUGCAUCCAAAACUAUUUAGCUAGAGUGUGGGAGAGGAAGAUGGAAUUAGUUGUGUAGGGGUAAAAUCCGUAGAGAUAACUAGGAAUACCAAAAGCGAAGGCAAUCUUCUGGAACACUACUGACGCUGAGGCGCGAAAGCGUGGGGAGCAAACGGGAUUAGAAACCCUAGUAGUAC
rnacentral:rRNA from 1 species